UUUCAUCAAACAGGAGAACACCUGCGUCAAGACGUGUGGUGGAACUCGGAGUUUCAGAUCUGUCCGGUCCCAGUCUGGAGCUGCUGCCUUCA